GUGUGGACGGGGAGUGGGAAAGCGGGCCGCGCGAACCGGGGGUUGUGGACCCGGGAGCGGACGGCGGGGGCUGGGCAGCAGGUCGUAAGCUGUGUGGACCGGGAGUGGGAGAGCGGAUGAUGUGGAUUGGAGAGCAGCGAGGCGUGGAUGGUGAUGCGGGGGGCAAGGGCGGCGUGGAUGGAGAGCGGCAGGGAGCAGGCAGUGUAGACCGGGCUUGGGAGAGUGGGUGGUGUGGCUCCCGGAGCGGGCGAUGUGGGUCGGGUAGUGGGAAAGCGGGCGGUGUGGACAGGAGCGUGGCGAGGCGCCAGUGGUGAUAAGAGGAAAAGGGCGGCGUGGACGGAGAGCGGCCGGGGGCAGGCGGCUUAAACCCGGAGUGGGAGAGUGGGUGGCGUGGCGCCGGGAGCGGGCGGUGUGGAUGGCGAGGCGGAGGGCAGGGGCGGCGUGGAUCCGGACCGGCCUGGGAGAAGCGGGACUGGCUCUGCUGCCCCUUCCCCGGAGGCGUGGCUGGUGUGACCCUGGCAGCGACGCAUGACCAUUGCAAAUAUCGUUUCCACCCCUGUGCUGCACAAACCCACAGCCCACAGCUCCGGGGGCCCCUAAAGUUCCACUGAUAAAGUGUAAGAAGGGAUAAGCAGAUGGAAAAAGGAUUUGAAAUUGACAUCAGACAGGACUCAUUUGCCUCCUACACGGGAAGCUCCUGGGAAUCAACAGGAAAAAGAACAAAACAAUGCGGAAGCCUUGCCUAAAAAAAAAAAAAGAAAGAAACCACGUGUAGAAGAUGUUCCUUGGGCAGCUCGUGGCCUCUGACUCUGGAUAGUGGUAUUGCAUCAGCGUCCUGUUUCCCAAGCACGACAGCUACUGGGUGUGUGAUGUGGAGACGCCGUCCUUCUUGGAAAAUGCACUCUGAAGAAGUCAGGGCGGAACACGAUGUCUCCAGCACUCGAUCAGUUGAUCGCUAGAUGAUAGGUGCGCUGUCCUGAGCCCUGGGGAUACGCCCAGGAGCCAGCGUAGGAGGCCGUGAUCUGGGGUCAAGUGACAGGGACUUGGAAGAGGUGCCCCGUGCUCUGCGUCUUCCUUGGUGGCCGAAGCUGCUUCGCGGAGCAGACCCCACCCUACGUGCCUCAGGCUGUCUUGAAAUGUCUGUUUCGGGCUUGUUUCCGACUCACAAGCCCUCAACUUGGUGCGCCUCGACCUGCCUGCAGGAUGUCAGCUAGCAGAACACGGAACACAAAAACGGCAACGGCGAUGACUCUUCAAAGACCCAGGGCGAGCUCGCGUAGCAACGGGGCCCGGAACCCACUACACGAACCCCCUCCAGCAUGCUGCUGCCCGGGCCCCCCCCCCCCAGCAGGGUCUGGGAGCCUUUCGGGCCAGCCUGUGGCGCUCCUCGCGUGUGCACACGUGUAGGCGUGGAGGGCUUCUGGAGGAGGAGCCUUGUGGCUCUUUGGCAGCCGGCUAUUUUCCUGACCGAGCCCACGGAUGCUUCGGUGGCCGUGACAUAGACCAAAGCCGCCGGCGUCUGUCCAGAGGGGACGAAGGGCGCCUGCUGGCUCUCCCACGUCAAAUGCGUGUGGACGGCGGUGGAGUCUGGCCCCGCCCUGUCUGUGGACAAAGCAGCACGCCCGUGACUUUAAGGGCUCUUAAUUGGGUCUGGGGCCAAGGGAGAACUUGCCCUUGGCUCUGCCCAGGCUCAGCCGCAGAACAAGGCUCGAGAGCCCCGAGGUGUAGGCUGAAUGUCAUCUGAUCGGAGCUGCCGGAAAGAUCUUUUGGUUUUUUUUCCAUUUUCUCUUUGGAUAUAGUCAAACGGCCUAUUGGGAAGAAUCAUGGGGACGUUUCUACAACUGUCUAAGGCGGAGAGGCUGCGUGCGGGGGUCUCCUGGACCACGGGAAGGGAAGUACAGACGUGUGAGCGGCUUCACUCCUGCCGCGAGCCUGAGGUGCCGCAUCUGGGGACCACGAAGGUCCGUUCCCAGAGCUGUUCAAGUCCCCCUAAGCAUGCAGCGUAUCGCGAGAAGUCACCAGUUAGGGCGUGUUAUUGCACCAACCGCGGCCACCAACUGGACUGGACUUUGGCCAGCGGGGGGCAUUACACUGGUGCCUGCUGAUUAAUUACCCCGGCAUGGUGACAGGCUCCAGCCGGCGGGUCGCAGGGGCCGAGGAAGUGUUUCUGACAUGGGGACCUGCUUUAGGUUAAGCGUGGGGCCCCUGAAGGGCAUAUUAAUGUGGGCUCUCACCUGGAACGGAGGAGGGGAAGGCGGGAUCCGUUCUGUUAACUUAGAGUGCUCUGACCCCACAGCCCCCGGUCUCCCCAGGGGAACGGAAGCCCGAGGGGGGCAGGCUGGCCCCAUCCCCGGGUCAGCUGGAGGCCAGCAGUAACAGGUGCUGUCCUGGAGGGCCCCGUCUCCGAAGCCCGUCCUAGGUGUCCCCACACUGGAAUUUGGUCUGGGGUCUGGAGCCAGGGUCUGAGGUGUGAGCAGGGGUGCCGUCAUGGGUGGGGUCGCGUCCCUCCAAAAUUCCUGCGUUGGGGUCCUAAUCCCCAGCACCUCAGAACGUGGCCUUAUCUUACAGACGGGGUCCUUACAGAGGUGAUUAAUCCACAGGGCGUCAAGGCAAGUACUACACCAGCGUGGCCGUGCCCCUACAGAAAGAAGAGAUGCGGACAGGCACGCCCACAGGGAGCGUGCCAGGUGGAGGCAGGGAUGGGGUGACGCUUCGAUAAGCCAAGGAAGGCCAGAGACACUGCCAAACCCCAGAGGCCUGGCGAGAGCAUCCUGGCCCACAGGAGCCACCAGCCCUGCCCACGCCUCGACCUGGGGCUUCUGGCCUCCAGAGCUGGGGGGACUGUCCAUUGCUGAGCACAAGGCUGUGUGGAUCGCAAGAGGCCAGCCCGCCCUGCGGGGCACAGCGUCUGGUGCUCGAGAAGCGUGGGUUUGCACCAGAUUCCGAGGGAAACCUGAGCGCGGGGAGAGGCAAGAGGUAGGUGUUCAGAUUCCCUCAAAAGGGAAUCGGCACGUUGUCAAGCAACCCCUCUAAGUCGUUUCAAUGAAAUCGCACUUGACAUAACUAAAAUUCGAAUUCUUGCCGUAUCACGAUGGCAUAUCAAGGACCCCCAACCUGUGAAUAAAACUGGAAAAGCAGAAA